UAAAAACUUGUGAACUUGUAAUUUGCAAAUGUGUGAGAAAUGCGAGAUUUAAAUUGGAUUGCUUGCGCAUUUUCCCAGUGUGUCAGGUGUAAUUUUACUAAAAUUUAACGUGUGUGAGAAUAUGAAAGCAAAUUGGGCAAUAAAUAUUUCGCUUGGCAUUUACCUACUUACCUUUGCUUUUUUUAGAGUGACACAAAUUUUUCAAGAUUUGGAAUACUUGUUUGUUUGAGAGUUAAAUGUUGCAUGCUGUGUGACCAUUAAUUGUGCAUAAAUUGCAGAUAUUAAUAUGCAAGAAGACAAAUUCUAAUGCAUAAAAUUGAGCAGUUUGUUGUGUGAAAUAUGCAUCACAAAUUCGCAAGUUAGUGGUUUAUGUACUUAUUGGCAGACUGGUUCGUAGUUCGCAUGGUAUUAGGCAAUUUUUGGUCAUGAAAUGUAACUCUUGACCUUCUGCGAUGCUCCUACUACGAAAUAUGUACACUUGACGUGUGUAAUAAAAGUAGAACUAAAUAAACCUUUACAACUAAUGUACCCAAGGGAUGAAAAAAGUGUCGAAUACGUUAAAAGUAAUAUCAUUUUGUUUUUACCCGUUCAAACUUUUUUAACACGGUCAUUGAGCUGAGGUCAAAAUUGUAUGCAGUGUUCAAAACGUUAAAAUUGACAAACGUCUAACUUGUUUCGACAUUUGUGACAGUUUACGAUUUGUUGACUUUUUUGUGACCUUGGAGGUCAAUGGAGGUCACCAUUGAAUUCGGGGUUAAAUUUCUGUUAAAUUAACCAUUAAAUGACAUUUCGUAACUUUUUUGACCUUGAAGGGUGUGACCAUGGAAUAAGAUAAUAAUAGAGUGUAACCUACAGAGUCCAUCUUCGAACUCGUUCUGUCGCUUGACGUUAGGAGUUUACGCUCAAAAUUUCAAGUCUUUCCGUUUAAAAGUUAUCAGACCAAUGGACACACAGACCGACAUAACGAUCUUAUAAAGGGCUUUAACCCCUUAAUAUGCAUACCUCUUUAAGGGGUGGAAAUCCUUUUAUGGGAAUGGCUUUUCAGUCUGUUCAACGUUAGCUGACCUCGUGACCGUGUGGAAGGGGUCGAAAAAUUGAAUUUUGUCAUUUGGGCUAAUUUAGAAUGCAAAUAAAAAAGUAUGGCCGAGUGCGUCCAAAUUAUGGGAUAUCCAGACCAAUUGAAACGUCCCUCUUCAAGUAACGUGCGUUCUCUAGGGGGGUCGGUGCGGCAGUUAUGCUGGUGUUAACUUCGGUACCUGUUGUGGUGGUUCGUGUGUCAUUUCUGGGUAUCCACCUGGAGUAUGCAGUAGUUCCUGCAGCGGUUCAGGCGGGCGUUGCGGAAGUUACGCCGGUGUCAGCUUUGGCAGUUGCUGUGCUGGAUUGCGGUGCCAGAUCAGUGGCUACCCGCCAGGAACGUGUCGACCAAGUCGAUAGUGACGCCCUGCAAGGACCAUCCUCUUGUCGUCUAUCUUUACCCUUUUGUGCAAAUUUAUUUAAUUAGCUUUG